rnacentral:tRNA from 1 species
GCAGAUGCUCAGCUGUUAGAGCAUCUGCCUGGUAUGCGGAGGGUCGCUGGUUCGAUUCCAGUUCGCG